GUGGGGAAUCUUGCGCAAUGGGCGAAAGCCUGACGCAGCCAUGCCGCGUGGAUGAUGAAGGUCUUAGGAUUGUAAAAUCCUUUCACCGGUGAAGAUAAUGACUGUAGCCGGAGAAGAAGCCCCGGCUAACUUCGUGCCAGCAGCCGCGGUAAUACGAAGGGGGCUAGCGUUGCUCGGAUUUACUGGGCGUAAAGGGCGCGUAGGCGGACAUUUAAGUCAGGGGUGAAAUCCCGGGGCUCAACCUCGGAACUGCCGUUGAUACUGGGUGUCUUGAGUAUGAGAGAGGUGUGUGGAACUCCGAGUGUAGAGGUGAAAUUCGUAGAUAUUCGGAAGAACACCAGUGGCGAAGGCGACACACUGGCUCAUUACUGACGCUGAGGCGCGAAAGCGUGGGGAGCAAACAGGAUUAGAAACCCCUGUAGUCC
rnacentral:rRNA from 1 species